rnacentral:misc_RNA from 1 species
CCAAAUGUAUAUGCUGGUUUUAUUCCACAUGUAUAUGUAAAGCCCAUCCAUGUUGCUUUCCCACCCCGUCUUUCUGUCGGGUGGGAAAGGUCUGCUCAAACUCUGCUUUGCUGUGGGUGUAGUCUGAGUGCAAAAAUGGCGAAAGCAUAAUAAA